AGAGCCGAGGCCGGGCUAGGAGCUCCAAGGCUGGGGGGUUAAGAGCAUGACGGGCCAGGGGGAGGUUUGGGGGGUAAGAAAAUGUGAAGGCAGGAAGGGCGGGGUGGAAAGGUGAGAGAAAGGUGAGGAAGAUGGAGGCUGAGGAGAGGCCGCGAGGGAGAUGCUGGAAGAGGAAUGCUGUGCUGAAGGAAGGAUGAGAGAGGAGCAGGAAGAUAAAGUGAUAGUGGAGAAAAAGUGUGAGUCAGCAGAGGCUUACAGGGGAAGAAACAGACAUAUAUAUAUAUAUAUAUAUAUAUUACUUUUCAUGCAUAGAGUCAGAUAAGUGUAGGUGAGCUUUAAAACUGAAAAAGAAGCCUGCUAAGAUACUGCAUGUAGACUACGCUAGAGAGAAAAGAGAAAAGCACAUGCAAAAAGACCACAAGAGAGGAAGAGAAACAGACAGAAAUUCAGUAUUACAGCGUUCUGAGUGGGGAGUCUGCUCUCCUUUUCCUGCCAUGGAUGUAAUGCUGGUUUGGACAGCAGCUGACGUCCAAUCAGACAACAGGACCGUGGCCCCUGUCAUAAUGACAACCAUGACAUCAUGGCAAGGGCUAGCGGAGAGAAGACAGCGGAGCUCCAGACAGACAGCGGGGCUGCGCGGGGGCUGCACGCCGACCACAGCGCACCGGCUGCCGGAUCGAAACCCAGCGCGGACUACCGGGGAGGAAAAGGGAGGAAAAAAAAAAAAAAAAAAAAAAAAAAAAAAAAAAAAAAAGGGGGUGACCGUGCCGAGGGUUAUGCCGGAUGGGUGCCACCGGACUGGAAGCUCCGGCCCCCGGACACACUGAGGCUCCUUCACCGGUGUUGGGGGGAGAAGCGACAGACAGAUACGGAGGAGGUUGAGCGAAAUGGCAUCUUGUUUAAUUUCUGCCAAUCAAGACGAGAGGAAGACAACUCCCAAACUGGCAUGAUGUAACAGGAGGGUGAAGAGGCGAUCAAGAGACCUGGAAACAUGCAUGAACCGGAUGGCAAAUGGGAACUGGAGUCGUGUCUGCUGUAAUCUCCACUGUUCAAUUAGCUGCACUGACCGGGACGCCACCUACACUUCAUUAGCUGCAAGACGAAGGUGAAGCUGAUGGUGUAACAUCAACCAAGCUCAUGGGAUGCAGAAGAUGCUGACACUUUGCGUGCGCACACACACACACACACGCAUGCACACGCACACAUGCACACAGACACACAACGGUAAAUGGGAGUCUGCUGUCAGGAGUGUGAGCCAUUUCCAGGUGAAGAAAACUGAAUUAAACUGAAUCAAGCUGAACCGAUCUGAACUGGAAUGACCUGCAGUGAAGUGAAAGGAAGGCUCCAGCUGGACAGCUCUCUGAGGUUUGGGGGGGAAAAUUCAGACAGAGAAAUACCUUGAAAUGAUGCAGAUGAAAAUGUGUUGUUUUUGAACGUUGCCUUCCAGAUUUCCUGUGCUGUAUUUUCAGUAUUUGGGUCUGUUCACUUUUACAUUACAUUCUGUCACUUCAACUGUACCUAAAGUCUCACCCUUGAAUUCUGACACUGUAAAUAAUAACCUUUCUCUUGUCUCUGUGUGAUCUGUAUUCUCUUAUUUUCUUAUAUCUUUUAAAGUUUUUUUUUUAAAUCUAUACUUUCUUUGGGGUUCAUUGUGGAAUAAAACAGGUCUAAAAAUGAAACUCUAAUAUUAUAUUUUGAGCAAUUUGGUGUUAUUUGCUCAAAGAACUGUCUUUUUGAGAAUCUUUCACCCACGACCACACAAUCUGUCAAACAUUACACAUCUACAUCUUCUAAUAAUGGUCUUCCCUUCGUCUACACUUGCCAAAUUUGUUUUCGAAAACAAUAAUUGGAAAAAAAAAAAAUUAAAAGCAUCAUCAUCAAGCUAGCAAGUGUAUUAUCGGUCAUGAGGAGAUGACAUUUUGGAUUCAUUGUUAUGUUAGUCUUUUACCAUAUUUGAAGAAUUUACAUUAAAUGUGAACAAACAUUUAAACAUAAAUUACUUUUAAAGAAACUCCAGACAUUAUGUAGUGGCUGUUGUAGUUUUUCUUGAGUCUUUAUGGAAGUUGUUUCUGAUAUUUUCAUUCAUGUUUAAAACAGAAUACUUCUCUGCUACUGUACUAACCAGUAAAUAUCAGGCACAUGCAUGAAGUCAAAGCCUCCUGAAGUAUUUGUCCCUCUCUAUUUGUAAAACUUUAAGAAUACUUAAGGCCAGUGCUGUGAAAUCUGCACACACAAACACAGAACAGUAGCCUCUGGCUAUCUGCAGCAGUGAGUGUAAAUGAUCGCAUAGCUGUGGUCAUAACUCACAGUGGUACAGGCUGCUGAUGGAAGCUGACACCCACUGUCUCUGUGUGUUUCUGUGUGUAUAUAUAUGUGUGUGUGUGUGUGUGUGUGAGAGAGAGAGAGUCAUUUUAGACUCCUAAUGUCGCUUCCUUUCCCUUCUGCCCCUUCUUGCCUUCCUCCUCCUCAUCCUCGAUGCCUCGGGUGAUGAAACUGACUCUGUUACAUCAGACCAAACAGCCCCCGCCCAGCUUUUGCCUCCUCCCGUCUACACACAGACACAUUUGUUUGUCCACGCUCUAGAGCCACAUCAGUGUGUUUGACCUUAUUGAUUAGGUGUUGUCUGUUGAUGCAAAUCAGGAUAAUCCAUCACUGAUGUCUCUGUUUGUGGGGCGGAGGUGAGUUGAUAGUGAUGGAUGACAGAUUAAUCAGUAAUCAUGAUAAACUGAAGAGCACUCACUCACACGCUUAGACACAAUGGUGUUGGUGUCGGCAGCCGACUAAUGAAACAUAAACUCGUUUCUCCUUUCUAUUACAGGAUGUAAUACAACAAAAUGACACUCAUUGUUUGCUUUUGAUUGAUUGUAAUUAUUUACUUAUUAUUUAUUGGAUCCUAUUAACUUUCACUGUGUAAAGAAACACCCCAAAGUAUACAGUGUCUGGAGCAAUAUCUCAACAUUAACAGUUAUAUACGAGAACAAAAAAAAUACAUUAUUAACUCAGCAUAAAUAUUACAAUUGCUUGUCAUAGGCAUUCAUUCACAAUUUAUUAAUUUCGUGUAAUUUCUAUGGUAAGUUCUUGCAAAAAUAAAUAUAAUAAUAUUAAUAUUAAAACAAGUAA